AGACCCGAAACCCGGUGAUCUAGCCAUGGGCAGGUUGAAGGUUGGGUAACACUAACUGGAGGACCGAACCGACUAAUGUUGAAAAAUUAGCGGAUGACCUGUGGCUGGGGGUGAAAGGCCAAUCAAACCGGGAGAUAGCUGGUUCUCCCCGAAAGCUAUUUAGGUAGCGCCUCGUGAAUUCAUCUCCGGGGGUAGAGCACUGUUUCGGCUAGGGGGCCAUCCCGGCUUACCAACCCGAUGCAAACUGCGAAUACCGGAGAAUGUUAUCACGGGAGACACACGGCGGGUGCUAACGUCCGUCGUGAAGAGGGAAACAACCCAGACCGCCAGCUAAGGUCCCAAAGUCAUGGUUAAGUGGGAAACGAUGUGGGAAGGCCCAGACAGCCAGGAUGUUGGCUUAGAAGCAGCCAUCAUUUAAAGAAAGCGUAAUAGCUCACUGGUCGAGUCGGCCUGCGCGGAAGAUGUAACGGGGCUAAACCAUGCACCGAAGCUGCGGCAGCGACACUGUGUGUUGUUGGGUAGGGGAGCGUUCUGUAAGCCUGUGAAGGUGUGUCGUGAGGCAUGCUGGAGGUAUCAGAAGUGCGAAUGCUGACAUAAGUAACGAUAAAGCGGGUGAAAAGCCCGCUCGCCGGAAGACCAAGGGUUCCUGUCCAACGUUAAUCGGGGCAGGGUGAGUCGACCCCUAAGGCGAGGCCGAAAGGCGUAGUCGAUGGGAAACGGGUUAAUAUUCCCGUACUUGGUGUUACUGCGAAGGGGGGACGGAGAAGGCUAUGUUGGCCGGGCGACGGUUGUCCCGGUUUAAGCGUGUAGGUGUGUGUUCCAGGUAAAUCCGGUUCACUUUAACACUGAGGCGUGACGACGAGGCACUACGGUGCUGAAGCAACAAAUGCCCUGCUUCCAGGAAAAGCCUCUAAGCAUCAGGUAACAUCAAAUCGUACCCCAAACCGACACAGGUGGUCAGGUAGAGAAUACCAAGGCGCUUGAGAGAACUCGGGUGAAGGAACUAGGCAAAAUGGUGCCGUAACUUCGGGAGAAGGCACGCUGACACGUAGGUGAAGUGAUUUACUCAUGGAGCUGAAGUCAGUCGAAGAUACCAGCUGGCUGCAAC
rnacentral:rRNA from 1 species